rfam:Acinetobacter baumannii str. SDF, complete genome.
UUCUAUGGUAGGACGGAGGGGGACGCGCUUGCGCGUGCUGGGUCCUUGUGUACCAGUCUGCUAACCCCCUUCGUUCUGCCACCAUU